CCUACGGGAGGCAGCAGUGGGGAAUAUUGGACAAUGGGGGGAACCCUGAUCCAGCCAUGCCGCGUGUGUGAAGAAGGCCCUCGGGUUGUAAAGCACUUUCAGUGAGGAAGAACGCCUGGUGGUUAAUACCCAUCAGGAAAGACAUCACUCACAGAAGAAGCACCGGCUAACUCCGUGCCAGCAGCCGCGGGAAUACGGAGGGUGCGAGCGUUAAUCGGAAUUACUGGGCGUAAAGCGCGCGUAGGUGGCUUGAUAAGCCGGUUGUGAAAGCCCCGGGCUCAACCUGGGAACGGCAUCCGGAACUGUCAAGCUAGAGUGCAGGAGAGGAAGGUAGAAUUCCUGGGGUAGCGGUGAAAUGCGUAGAGAUCGGGAGGAAUACCGGUGGCGAAGGCGGCCUUCUGGACUGACACUGACACUGAGGUGCGAAAGCGUGGGUAGCAAACAGGAUUAGAUACCCGGUAGUC
rnacentral:rRNA from 1 species